GGCAGCAUCCCUGGUAGGAGGUUUGCUGCAGAAUCUCCUCUUCUGGAGGCAGAUGGAACCCUGGGUGGCCUGUGACCAGGUGGCUUUAUUUAGACCAGUGCUGUCCAGCGCAGAGGAGGCCAGGUAGGUGGCUGAGUCCUUGUUUCUGGUCCGGCAGGCCACUGUUACAGCAUAUAGCAUUGCUGCCGGGCCCCAGCACCUGGGCAGCCUUCUGGGGCUUCCUCUCUACUCUGUUUUAUGACAGCCUGGGAGUCUGUCUUCAGCACAGGAACAGCAGCUGCUCUGGGCAGGGCCUCUCUGCUCUCCCCCAGCCUGGACGCAUGGCAGCAUCUGGGGAGGCUCGGUGGUCACAAUGGUGUAGGGAGGAGUGUGCUGGUGACCCCUCCUGGGUGCAGAGUGACGUAACUAGCGCCAGGUGGGGCAGCCACCCUAUCAGCACAGGAGGGCAGAGGGUUAUUAGUUCCUUGGCGAAGGCUGGGACAUUGCAGGUUCACUGAUGUGGCCUUGCACCACAGGUCUCUUCAUGGGAAAGUAGUGAGAUACUGCGCAGCCAGGACGGUCGAGUUUCAGUGAGCAUGCCCCAGGGCUCUUACCAGUACGACAGAGCUGGUCAGUGUAAACCUGCCAGUUUCAUGUCUACCUGUCUGUAGUGUGUCCAGCAAGGGAGGAAGCACUCUGGAGAAGCUGAGAAAAUAGGAAGAGAGAAAUCUGUCAAAUUCCUGUUUAUUGAGAAAUAUCAUGUUUAAGAAAUUUACACCAAGUCUAUGCUUCGUGAAUUUUCAAGAGUUUCUUUUAAGUUUAGAGAAGGGAAAUGGCCAUCAGCAGAAGGCCUUCCUGUUCUGGACUCUAACAGUGAACAGCAAGGGCUGCAGAUGUUGUAACUGGGAGUACUGAGUGGGAACAGUGUUAGCAGAAGGUGACUUCGUGUCCUCCCAGCCUGAUAAGAGACUUGCACCUCCACACCUGGCCCUCAGAGUGCCCUCCCCAGGUGGCCUGGGAGUCAGGUUGCCCAAGGACAUCGUGGCCUUAAGCAGGACUUGGCUGUUACAGCUCGAGCCUGGCAGACAUAAGCAUGUCCCUGGGGCGUGCUCUGGGGAUGCAGGGGAACAGCGGCUGCAUUCUCAAGCAGACCUGGUUUUCACGCAUCAGUCAUCAGGGGCUUAAGGGCCCUGCGCACCCUCUGAGGAAGCCUGCUUCCUUCUAACCACGGACCAGUUUUCCUCCCUGUAGUGCGCUGGGAUAGGCCACCCCUGUCAGUAAGUGGCACCCUAGCUUCCCCGACACCUUCACCUUGCCUUGACUGCACGGGAGAGCUCUUGUUAUAUUUCUCUUUCUUCUUGUGGUUUAGCGUAAAAGCAG
rnacentral:lncRNA from 1 species